CCUACGGGGUGCAGCAGUGAGGAAUAUUGGUCAAUGGACGAGAGUCUGAACCAGCCAAGUAGCGUGAAGGAUGACUGCCCUAUGGGUUGUAAACUUCUUUUAUAAAGGAAUAAAACGAGGCACGUGUGCCUUUUUGCAUGUACUUUAUGAAUAAGGAUCGGCUAACUCCGUGCCAGCAGCCGCGGUAAUACGGAGGAUCCGAGCGUUAUCCGGAUUUAUUGGGUUUAAAGGGAGCGUAGAUGGGUUUUUAAGUCAGUUGUGAAAGUUUGCGGCUCAACCGUAAAAUUGCAAUUGAUACUGGCAGUCGUGAGUACAGUUGAGGUAGGCGGAAUUCGUGGUGUAGCGGUGAAAUGCUUAGAUAUCACGAAGAACCCCGAUUGCGAAGGCAGCUUACUAAACUGUGACUGACAUUGAUGCUCGAAAGUGUGGGUAUCAAACAGGAUUAGAUACCCGUGUAGUC
rnacentral:rRNA from 1 species